GCCGAGGAGUGAGACAUGGGGCUCCCCUCCUAAUUAUACAAGGACAGGCUUGUAUGUCUAAUUGAGGCCCAUUAGGACUUAGAGUGACUCUGGAUGCAGCCCACUCAGUUCCAAAGGGUCUUCACAGAGCUCUACCCUUGCUGGUUCCCUGCUUACUCUGUGUUAUAAAAACAACAGUCAACAUUUAUUGGGUGCUUAGUAGGUGCCAGGCACUGUUCUCAGCCUUUUGUGUGGAUUAUCCCACUGAUCUUCACCACCACCUAUUGAGAUCUGUUUUUACAGAUGAGGGAAGUUAAGUCACAGAUUCUGUGACCAAGGACAUUCCUCUAAAAUCAGCGUAAGGUCCAUCCACUAAAUCUUCUUUUCCCACUCCAGGACUGAUCUCUUUCAAAAGGUGACUGCUAGCCCUUUUCUUCUGGAAGAAGCUUUAACAUACAGAAGCUCUCUCCCAAAGGUAGCACUCCCCCGAGUGUGCUGUGGGAUGAUCUUUGCUUUUUUUGCAUCAUUGCCUCUCUAUAAAGACUAUAGCCCCAUGAAGGUCAAGAGAAUAAGGGGUGUCUCUGUGAUUGGCACACUAACUUUGGCUGACUAAGCUUUAUGGAAAUGAGGAGAACAUUACCAAUGUGUGUAGCCUGCAUGGCCUCGUUCAGGAGAAACUUGACGACAAUCUGUGGUACCAGAAGGGCAGAAGCUCCUCUGUGCAUCCCGCUUCCUGCACAGCCAUCCAUCAGGGGAACUGCGGCUGGUCUCCAGAGGCUUCUCAGGCACAGAAAAGCUACAGAUCUUAUUUAUUCAUCAGAGACACACAGAGAGGCAGAGACACAGACAGAGGGAGAAGCAGGCUCCCUGCAGGGAGCUGGAUGCGGGAGUCCAUCCUGGGACUGGAAUCACACCCUGAGACACUCAACCGCUGAGCCACCCAGGCGUCCCUGGAGUUCAACUUUAUUCCAUCAUAGAAAUCAGCUCUAUAUUAUCCUCUGAAUAGUCAUUGCCUUCUUCUUGCACACCUUCAGAGGUGCAUGCUCUAUACCUCACAGGUAACCUUCAGCUUCCUUCUUGCUUGCAGGAUCACAUGCAACCUUCUCGGACAUCCAUAUUUUUACCCACUUACCUUCCAACUCUCUUCUCACCAUUGCUUUAGAGACACACUAGUCCUCUGCUGUCUACUAAGUUGACUACAUGCAUUCCCAACCUCUGCUAUUGGGUAAAACCCUCAUGUGGGGCAACCUCUUCCUCUUUUCUGCCUGCCUGAGUCUUCUACUCAUUCUCAAGUCCAGUAUCAAGAACCUCUCGGUCCUCAGCAAGCUUUCCCAAUAUCCCAGGGCACCUGUUUCCUACGUUACUCAUGUACUUCCUAAUGCAAGUUGUUCUCUAAUGUUGACCGUUUUGGUGCUGUGGUACCGAUAGACCCCAUGAAAGGAAGGGCUUUGUCCUAUUCAUCUUCGUAUCCUCAAUGCCUUGCUUAAGUCAUUUUUCAAGAAUGGUCUUCCAGUUGUAUUGGUUUAGAUAAAAACUAUUCUGCCUAGCAGAUCCUGUAUUUUCUAUUUUGCAUUUAUUUUUCUGUGUUGGUGAAGCACCCAGCACACAGUCAAUUCUGUCUAACUAGCUGAAUGUUGUUGUUGUUGUCAUUGGAGCUAUGUGGGAACAGGCUAGGAGGAGAACUGAAUCGACUUACUGGGGCUAAGAAAAUAUUUAUGAUAGCAUCAUUUGUAACAGUAAAAAACUGGAAACAAUUUAAAAGUCCGUGUAUAUAAAGUUAAGGAACAUACAAAGCAAGAUUAUGUGUUAUUUAUUGGAAAAUGCAUAUUCAAUACAAUUAUACAGCAGUAUGUACCACACUAGGGAUGAGGGAGAAGGUAUUCAUUUUUUGGAGGCUGCUCUAAUAAAGUGCCACACUGAGUGGUUUGAACAACAGAAAUUUAUUGACUCACGGUUCUGGAAAUUAGAAAUCUAAUAUCAAGGUGUUAGCAGGUUUGACUUCUCCUAAGGCCUCUUUCUGUGGCUUGCAGAUGGCCACCUCCUUCCCGUGUGGUCCCAUGGUCUCCUGUGUGCAGACAUCCUUGGUGUCCAAAUCUUUCUUAUAAGGACACCUGUUAGAUUGGAUUAGGGCUUACUCCAAUGUCCUCUGUUUACCUUAAUCACCGUUUUAAAGGCUCUAUCUCCAAAUGUAGUCACAUUUAUGAGGUACUGGGGGUUAGAUUUGCAACCUAUGAAUUUUGGCAAGGGGUAGGGGACACAAUUCAGCCCCUAAUAGCAGAAUUGGCUCCUUCUGAGGGCUGUGGGGGGAGAAUCUGUCCCACGCAGCUCUCCUAGCUUUUGGUAGUCUCAGGUGUUCCUUGACUUAUGGACAGUGUUCUCCUGUGUCUUCACACUGUCUUCCCUCCAUAUGUGUCUCCUGUAUGUUGAUG